AUUGAACGCUGGCGGCAGGCCUAACACAUGCAAGUCGAGCGGCAGAAGAGUAAUUGCUCCUGGAUUCAGCGGCGGACGGGUGAGUAAGGCCUAGGAACCUGCCUGGUAGUGGGUGAGAACGUGCGAAAACGGGGGCUAAUACGCUAAAAGCGCAGAGGGAGAACGGGGGGGAUCAGCGGACCUUCGGCCCUUAGAUGAGCCUAGGUGGGAUUAGCGAGUUGGUGGGGUAAAGGCCUACCAAGGCGACGAUCCGUAACUGGUCUGAGAGUAUGAUCAGCCACACUGGAACUGAGACACGGUCCAGACUCCUACGGGAGGCAGCAGUGGGGAAUAUUGGACAAUGGGCGAAAGCCUGAUCCAGCCAUGCCGCGUGUGUGAAGAAGGUCUUCGGAUUGUAAAGCACUUUAAGUUGGGAGGAAAGGCAGUAAGUUAAUACCCUGCUGUUUUGACGUUACCAACAGAAUAAGCACCGGCUAACUUCGUG
rnacentral:rRNA from 1 species